AUCGCUUCUCGGCCUAUGGCUAAGAUCAAAGUGUAGUAUCUGUUCUUAUCAGCUUAAUAUCUGAUACGCUCCCCAUUGGGGAGCCAGAAUAUUAAACUGAUUUUUGGAAGGUGGCGGAGUGUCUGGGGCUUGCUCCGGCUCUGCCGCGGGUCGGCCUUACAUUGCAGUGCCGUAAGGAACGGCCCACUUAAU